GAUGAAGAACGCAGCGAAAUGCGAUACGUAAUGUGAAUUGCAAAUUCAGUGAAUCAUCGAGUCUUUGAACGCACAUUGCGCCCCCUGGUAUUCCGGGGGGCAUGCCUGUCCGAGCGUCAUUGCUGCCCUCAAGCACGGCUUGUGUGUUGGGCCCCGUCCUCCGAUCCCGGGGGACGGGCCCGAAAGGCAGCGGCGGCACCGCGUCCGGUCCUCGAGCGUAUGGGGCUUUGUCACCCGCUCUGUAGGCCCGGCCGGCGCCUGCCGAUCAACCCAAAUUUUUUAUCCAGGUUGACCUCGGAUCAGGUAGGGAUACCCGCUGAACUUAAGCAUAUCAAUAAGCGGAGGA
rnacentral:misc_RNA from 1 species